AUGGGUAUCAGACCAAAUCAUACAAUUUAUAUCAACAAUGUGAAUGACAAAAUUAAAAAGGAAGAAUUGAAGAGAUCCCUAUAUGCCCUGUUUUCUUAGUUUGGUCAUGUGGUGGACUUUGUGGCUUUAAGGACCAUGAAGAUGAGGGGCAGGCCUUUGUCAUAUUUAAGGAACUGGGCUCAUCCACAAGUGCUUUGAGACAGUCACAAGGAUUUACAUUUCAUGGUAAACCAAUGUGAAUAUAUAUGCAAAAACAGAUUCGGAUAUAAUAUCUAAAAUGUGCGGCACUUUUGCUGACAAAGAAAAGAAAAAGGGCAAAACUGUGGAAUAGACUGCAACCACCACAAACAAAAGGCCUGGCUAGGGAACUUCAAAUUCAGCUAAUAUCCAAGGAAAUUCAACACCAAAUCCUCAGGUCCUCGAUUAUCCUCCAAACUAUAUUUUAUUCCUUAAUAACUUACCAGAAGAGACUAAUGAGAUGAUGUUAUCCAUGCUGUUUAAUCAGUUCCCUGGCUUCAAGGAAGUAUGUCUAGUACCAGGGAGGCAUGACAUUGCUUUUGUUGAAUUUGAAAAUGAUGGUCAGGCUGGAGCUGCCAGGGAUGCUUUGCAGGGAUUUAAGAUCACAACAUCCCAUGCUAUGAAGAUCACCUAUGCCAAGAAAUAACAUUUGGGAUAGUCAUCUUUAAAGGACUUGGUGUUAUUUAUAGUGUUUGUUUUGCUAACAUUUGGUUGGGUCAUUGUAAUAGAGAUUACGGGGAGUGAAAGUGAAAUUUUUGUGAAGGACUUAAAUUAUCUAGUGUUUCUUUAGCCUUGGUGAACUAUGAAAUACGAAGGCCUUAAUUUUGUACAAUAAACUUUUAUUUGUAUUCUGUG